ACUCAUCGCGGCGCCGCGGGGGCCGACGUUCGCCGGGCUGGAGCCCCACGAGGGCAGGCUGACCCUGCUCGGCUCUCCCCACGCCGCUCUCUCCCCCUCCUCUGUGAGCCUCGCGGGCGAGCGUGCCGACCCCCGCCGCCGGCCCGGCCGCACAAGCGGGUCAGGACCCGACUGAGCAUGCUCGCCCGCUCGCCGCCGCGUCUGGACGCAGCCGGGCCUCUGGGUCGGGCCGCGCAGGGGCGGCGCAGGUGCGCGGUCCGGGCGCAGGUGCGCGGGAAGCGGCCGAGUCGGGCGUGGAGGGGGUCUGGCUCACGAGCGAGUGGACCUAGAAACCCUAUUUUAACAUUACUUUCAGGAGCUCAGGAACUUUCAGCUGUUUUCUUCUUUCAGGAAGCCUGAACGCUUCAUUCCCGUCUCCAGGGUCUUCCUCUGAGACCCCACACUCUCCAGGGCCCUGCAGGACUGCGCUCGGCCACCUUGGACGAACUUGAAGUGGGCGUGGGGAACUUCUUGGGUCAAGGUCACCGAGGAGAGGGCGGAAAUGGAGAGCUUCCAGCAAGGAGAGUCUGCAGGCUGGAGAGGCGUCAACUAAAGACCCCAGAGAGAUGCCUUCAGAUCAGUGGGCUUCUUGGUCUUGUAUGUGCUCCGUUGACUGUGGCACCAGAGACUGUGGCCCACCAGGCUCCUCUGUCCAUGGGAUUUCCUAGGGAAGAAUACUGGAGCGGGCUGCUAUUUCCUCCUCCAGGCGAUCGUCCCAACCCAGGGAUGGGACCUGCAUCUUCUGCACUGGCAGGCAGAUUCUUUGCCGCUGUGACACCCGUGAAGCCCGUAAAUAAAGCUCCUUAAAUACA